rnacentral:rRNA from 1 species
AUUGAACGCUGGCGGCAUGCUUUACACAUGCAAGUCGGACGGCAGCACAGAGAAGCUUGCUUCUUGGGUGGCGAGUGGCGAACGGGUGAGUAACAUAUCGGAACGUACCGAGCAGUGGGGGAUAACUAAUCGAAAGAUUAGCUAAUACCGCAUAUCUUCUGAGGAAGAAAGCAGGGGACCAUUUGGCCUUGCGCUGUUUGAGCGGCCGAUAUCUGAUUAGCUAGUUGGUGGGGUAAAGGCCUACCAAGGCGACGAUCAGUAGCGGGUCUGAGAGGAUGAUCCGCCACACUGGGACUGAGACACGGCCCAGACUCCUACGGGAGGCAGCAGUGGGGAAUUUUGGACAAUGAGCGCAAGCCUGAUCCAGCCAUGCCGCGUGUCUGAAGAAGGCCUUCGGGUUGUAAAGGACUUUUGUCAGGGAAGAAAAGGGCGGGGUUAAUACCC